UGUAAGAAUUUGGUGCAUCAGGUUUCCGGU
rnacentral:piRNA from 1 species